rnacentral:rRNA from 1 species
GAUGAGCGCUAGCGGGAGGCUUAACACAUGCAAGUCGAGGGGCAGCACGAGGUAGCAAUACUUUGGUGGCGACCGGCGCACGGGUGAGUAACGCGUAUGCAACCUACCCUGUACAGGGGGAUAGCCCGGAGAAAUUCGGAUUAAUACCCCAUAAUGAUAUUAAGAGGCAUCUCUAUAUAUUUAAAGUUUCGACGGUACGGGAUGGGCAUGCGUGACAUUAGCUAGUUGGUAGGGUAACGGCCUACCAAGGCUGCGAUGUCUAGGGGUCCUGAGAGGGUGAUCCCCCACACUGGUACUGAGACACGGACCAGACUCCUACGGGAGGCAGCAGUGAGGAAUAUUGGUCAAUGGGCGUAAGCCUGAACCAGCCAUCCCGCGUGAAGGAAGACGGCGCUAUGCGUUGUAAACUUCUUUUCCGGAGGAAUAAAAUUUCGUACGAGUACGGGACUGAAGGUACUCCGGGAAUAGGCAUCGGCUAACUCCGUGCCAGCCGCCGCUGUAA